ensembl:lncRNA
UUACAUAAUGAAAUAUAUUAUCUCUUUUUGCCUCGUCUCGAUAAGGAAAACUCGGCUUUAGGGUGUGCGACAAAAGAUUUUUUUCUGGGAGGGGGAGAUAACGGCGAUGUGGCAAAGCAGGGAAAUGAAUAAAUCUAAAUGACUGGGGCUGGCGUACAUCACUAAAGCAGGACAAACAAAGUACGAAACCACAAGCCAGAGCACAACUGAUGCGCAGGCAUGUUGACCCUCAGCGUGGAUCCAGAGGCCCUGUUGGUUUGCAGAGAGACUAAAAACUAGUCCAGCUGCAAAAAUAAAACUAAAUAAAGAGCAUUGCGGGUGCCAUGUUUUUGUCACGGGAGUUUAAGUAAGGGGGGAAAACAGUUUUCAGAAAGGGGGGAAGAGGAGCUGGAUUAGCACGUCUAACAGCAGCCGGACCACGAUGCGCGGCUUUAGGAUCCGCGUUAAAGUGUCCGCGGCGCUUUAAGCGUUGAUCGCACCGAGCCGCUGCCGCGCGGCGGCCGCUGGAGGCCGGAGCGUCUCACGGAGACGCGACGCGCGCUAAACGUGCUCAGAAGAAGAAAAACACACAGCGGCCGCCGCAUCAUCGCAGCGAGUCGGCUUUCAGUCGGACGGUAACCUGGAUUUACAUCGGGAUACUUUUCACCGUUGCUCGUGACGGAUUUUUUCUUUUUAACCAGAGCGGCAAUCGCGGGACAGCGACGUGCGUACACGUUAAACUAAACACAACCGAAUUAAAACUCCUCAAACGAGUGAAACCACUCGGUGGAGACGAACACCGGGCGCCUCGUGCGCAUAGUGCACUUUUCUUUUUAAGGAGAGAGAACCGUUAACCGGGCGAGCGCAGCACGUGCAGCGGGCGAGCGCGCACGGCUCCGCGCCGCCGCCGAGUCCGCGCCGCCGCCGCCGCCGAGUGGAAGCUAGCGGCUCCACGCGGGGGGCCGGAGCUCAACACACGUCGUCGUCGUCGUCGCCACCGAAGGACGAAGGGCAGCGGAAAGUGUCCGGAGAAGGACGCUUACCUGCAGUCCGGCCAAGACCAGCAGCAGCGACAGACCGCCGCUCUCCCGGAGCGAGAACAUCGCUGCGCCCGCGACCGCUCGCGUUACCCUCCUUUCGGAAUCCGUUAUUAGCUCCAGACUCCUCUGCUCUCAAAGCGCUUUCUGAAUGUCACGAGCACUGAGGAGUAAUUGAGGAGCCAAUCAGUUGUCUCCCUGUCUGCAUAAAGAGGAGCCUCUAUUGAUCAGGAGGCUGAUGAAGGUUAAAUUACCUUGGUUGUGCUGCCGACAUCUAAUUAACUACAGCGAGACGACCCCGUGGAGGAGAUUGCAUCUGUGAAACCCGAGAUAUUUCAGUUGAGCGAGAAAGAAAAAAAAAAGAAAUACUUUUUCCAUCUCCAUAUACAAUAAACUGACAGGGGGUGACUUUUUGUUCACCUCCUCCCCGGCAA